GGCAGGAAGGGCAGAGUCUAGGUCCCAACAUGGGUGUAGGGUCCCAGCAGCUGCUGGCAGGACUGCAAAGGCAAGUGGGGGUUCUCGGGGAUCCCCACCCGUGGCCCCAGCAGCCACCUGCUCAGAGCCUCCUUGGCCGGGACACGGUGUUUUCCUGAGUGGGAAGCCGUGCCGGCUCCAGGAAAGGGAGAGCUGAUAUCUCGGACGAGUUGGGGCUUGACAACUCCCUUUGCUGGGCUGGAAGGUGCGGUGCUCCAGCCACACCCGGGUCCCCCGUCCUGUGCCCACCCAGUGCCCCUCGUGCCUCCCGGCCCCUGCC